UAAGGAAUAUUGCUCAAUGGGAGAAAUCCUGAAGCAGCAACGCCGCGUGGAGGAUGAAGGGUCUAUGACUUGUAAACUCCUGUAAAGAAGGAAAAAAUUCCCAUUUGAUGGGAGAUGAUGGUACUUCUGGAGUAAGCCCCGGCUAACUACGUGCCAGCAGCCGCGGUAAUACGUAGGGGGCAAGCGUUGUCCGGAUUUACUGGGUGUAAAGGGUGCUCAGGCGGAUUUGUAAGUUAGAGGUGAAAUCUUACAGCUUAACUGUGAAGCUGCCUUUGAUACUGCAAGCCUAGAGUAUGGAAGAGAGUGAUGGAAUAUCUGGUGUAGCAGUGAAAUGCGUAGAUAUCAGAUAGAACACCAAUGGCGAAGGCAGUCACUUGGUCCAUUACUGACGCUAAAGCACGAAAGCGUGGGUAGCAAACA
rnacentral:rRNA from 1 species